rnacentral:lncRNA from 1 species
GAAAGUAUACCCUAGAUAAGAAUAAGAUUAGGAAUAGCACCGGGUUCAUAUAAGUGGUACACGCGACCUUGUGCUACAAGUCGGAUGGUGUCCUUUGGCCGCUAGGGGUAGUCCUUUAUAAGGUGUUGGGUACUUCCGCAUCGAUAACAAGCAUUAUUGAUACAUCAACAUGGUAGAUACCCUAAAGGACCAGGGGAACAGAUACCCCUC